GAUUGGUGCUUGCUCAUGAUUUACAUUUGAGUGAGUGGCGAACUGGUGAGUAACACGUGGGAAACCUGCCCAGAAGCGGGGGAUAACACCUGGAAACAGAUGCUAAUACCGCAUAACAACUUGGACCGCAUGGUCCGAGUUUGAAAGAUGGCUUCGGCUAUCACUUUUGGAUGGUCCCGCGGCGUAUUAGCUAGAUGGUGGGGUAACGGCUCACCAUGGCAAUGAUACGUAGCCGACCUGAGAGGGUAAUCGGCCACAUUGGGACUGAGACACGGCCCAAACUCCUACGGGAGGCAGCAGUAGGGAAUCUUCCACAAUGGACGAAAGUCUGAUGGAGCAACGCCGCGUGAGUGAAGAAGGGUUUCGGCUCGUAAAACUCUGUUGUUAAAGAAGAACAUAUCUGAGAGUAACUGUUCAGGUAUUGACGGUAUUUAACCAGAAAGCCACGGCUAACUACGUGCCAGCAGCCGCGGUAAUACGUAGGUGGCAAGCGUUGUCCGGAUUUAUUGGGCGUAAAGCGAGCGCAGGCGGUUUUUUAAGUCUGAUGUGAAAGCCUUCGGCUCAACCGAAGAAGUGCAUCGGAAACUGGGAAACUUGAGUGCAGAAGAGGACAGUGGAACUCCAUGUGUAGCGGUGAAAUGCGUAGAUAUAUGGAAGAACACCAGUGGCGAAGGCGGCUGUCUGGUCUGUAACUGACGCUGAGGCUCGAAAGUAUGGGUAGCAAACAGGAUUAGAUACCCUGGUAGUCCAUACCGUAAACGAUGAAUGCUAAGUGUUGGAGGGUUUCCGCCCUUCAGUGCUGCAGCUAACGCAUUAAGCAUUCCGCCUGGGGAGUACGGCCGCAAGGCUGAAACUCAAAGGAAUUGACGGGGGCCCGCACAAGCGGUGGAGCAUGUGGUUUAAUUCGAAGCUACGCGAAGAACCUUACCAGGUCUUGACAUACUAUGCAAAUCUAAGAGAUUAGACGUUCCCUUCGGGGACAUGGAUACAGGUGGUGCAUGGUUGUCGUCAGCUCGUGUCGUGAGAUGUUGGGUUAAGUCCCGCAACGAGCGCAACCCUUAUUAUCAGUUGCCAGCAUUAAGUUGGGCACUCUGGUGAGACUGCCGGUGACAAACCGGAGGAAGGUGGGGAUGACGUCAAAUCAUCAUGCCCCUUAUGACCUGGGCUACACACGUGCUACAAUGGAUGGUACAACGAGUUGCGAACUCGCGAGAGUAAGCUAAUCUCUUAAAGCCAUUCUCAGUUCGGAUUGUAGGCUGCAACUCGCCUACAUGAAGUCGGAAUCGCUAGUAAUCGCGGAUCAGCAUGCCGCGGUGAAUACGUUCCCGGGCCUUGUACACACCGCCCGUCACACCAUGAGAGUUUGUAACACCCAAAGUCGGUGGG
rnacentral:rRNA from 1 species